GAUGAACGCUGGCGGCGUGCUUAACACAUGCAAGUCGAACGGAAAGGCCCCUUUGGGGGUACUCGAGUGGCGAACGGGUGAGUAACACGUGAGUAACCUGCCCUUGACUUCGGGAUAACUUCAGGAAACUGGGGCUAAUACCGGAUAGGAAUCCUUGCUGCAUGGUGGGGGUUGGAAAGCUUCGGCGGUUUUGGAUGGACUCGCGGCUUAUCAGCUUGUUGGUGGGGUAGUGGCUUACCAAGGCUUUGACGGGUAGCCGGCCUGAGAGGGCGACCGGCCACAUUGGGACUGAGAUACGGCCCAGACUCCUACGGGAGGCAGCAGGGGGGAAUAUUGCACAAUGGGCGGAAGCCUGAUGCAGCAACGCCGCGUGCGGGAUGACGGCCUUCGGGUUGUAAACCGCUUUCAGCAGGGGCGAAGCUUGUGGUGACGGUACCUGCAGAAGAAGCACCGGCUAACUACGUG
rnacentral:rRNA from 1 species